AGUUUGUGAUGGAAGAAAGUCAACUGUUUCCAAGACCGAAACGGAUACAGGAAGGAUAAAGUGCAAUGAAGGGCAGCCUUCUGUGUGUGUUGGAGUGGGGAAAUGACUCUGCAGAGUUUCGACUGGGACAGGAGAGGAGAGGGAGUCCCCCAGGUAUGCAGGCCAACGACUGCUGAAGGAGAGAGAAACAGAAACGACACACACUCCUGUUGCCACAACAAAUUUAUCUCUAAACUUUAGAGGAGGGAGACAAAGGCCUUUCCCUGAUUCCUCCCAUAGCGUCACGUCAAUGAGAUGAGAUUUUCACGAUUACGAGGAUCCAAUGACACUUUGAAACUUGGCUUUUACACAAUAGAUAGUUUGAGAAGAAAAGAUUGUCGCAUUUGUGAUGCAUUUUAACUCUACAAGUGGAAUAAUGUACAGUAUGUCCCCAGCCCUACAUGGAGCUCUGAUGGAUAUAAAGUGGAGGUUGCUAAAACUUUUGCCGUAGCUCUCCAGCUAUUUCUUGCACACAUGCACUGUAUAUUGUAAACAUGUGAUUGUGUUUAAGGAUGUAUUGUAACUUAAGAGUGUUCUUAUUUUUAAGGUUUGUAUUACUGAGAUUUUGCAGUUUGACAUUUAAUGUGUUAUGUUUUAUAUCGUGUUUUUUAUAAUGGACAAAUUUCAUUGUAGACAAUGAAGUUAUUUGUUGUAU